rnacentral:lncRNA from 1 species
CAGAUGAUCGCUGAAGGUAGAAGAAAUGCCAUACACAUACAAGAUUUGAUAACCUGUAAAAGCUUUCAGAUACAAGUGUGCAUCACCCACAACACUAACUUCAGAUGAGGAGAGCAAACUUCCUAAGAGCUGCUUGUACAUUUUCUCAUUUCUCAUUGUGAAGAAAAAAGUGGAAGUAGCCAGAGAAACUCAGAGACCUUCAACUGGUUAUUUCUCUUCCACUAUUGUUUUUAUAACUGCCAUUGUACCUAAAAUUGGAGAAGAAAUUUUUCUGCAACUGCUGCACAG